GACGAACGCUGGCGGCGUGCCUAAUACAUGCAAGUCGAGCGGGGAUUAUGCUUGAUCGCUUCGGUGAGACGGCAUAUAUCCUAGCGGCGGACGGGUGAGUAACGCGUGGGUAAUCUACCUCGUAGUUCGGGAUAACAGGCCGAAAGGCUUGCUAAUACCGGAUGAGUUCAUGCUUAUGCAUAUAGGCAUGAAGAAAGGGCUAGCCCGCUAUGAGAUGAGCCCGCGUCCCAUUAGCUUGUUGGUGGGGUAAUGGCCUACCAAGGCAACGAUGGGUAGCCGGCCUGAGAGGGUGUACGGCCACACUGGGACUGAGACACGGCCCAGACUCCUACGGGGGGCAGCAGUAGGGAAUUUUCGGCAAUGGGCGAAAGCCUGACCGAGCGACGCCGCGUGAGGGACGAAGGCCUUCGGGUUGUAACCGUCUGUCUGGGGGAGUGAGAACGGACGGUACCCCGGACGGAACGCCCCGGCUAACUACGUGCCAGCAGCCGCGGUAAAUAGCGUACU
rnacentral:rRNA from 1 species